UACAGAGGUCUCAAGCGUUGUUCGGAUUCAUUGGGCGUAAAGUGUGUGUAGGUGGCGCUGUAAGUCGGGUGUGAAAUCUCGGGGCUUAACUCCGAAACUGCAUUCGAUACUGCGGUGCUUGAGGACUGGAGAGGAGACUGGAAUUCAUGGUGUAGCAGUGAAAUGCGUAGAGAUCAUGAGGAAGACCAGUGGCGAAGGCGGGUCUCUGGACAGUUCCUGACACUGAGACACGAAGGCCAGGGGAGCAAACGGG
rnacentral:rRNA from 1 species